rnacentral:rRNA from 1 species
AGUGAACGCUCGCGGAAUGCUUUACACAUGCAAGUCGAACGGCAGCACGGUGACAGCCCUGGUGGCGAGUGGCGAACGGGUGAGUAAUACAUCGGAACAUGCCAGGUCGUGGGGGCUAGGGUGACGAAGUAUACGAUAAUACCGCAUACGAUCUGAGGACGAACGGGGGGAACCUGCGGGCCUCGGGCGAUCGGGCGGUCCGAUGUCCGAUUAGGUAGUUGGUGGGGUAAAGGCCUACCAAGCCGACGAUCUGUAGCUGGUCUGAGAGGAUGAGCAGCCACACUGGGACUGAGACACGGUCCAGACUCCUACGGGAGGCAGCAGUGGGGAAUAUUGGACAAAGGGCGCAAGCCUGAUCCAGCCAUACCGCGUGCAUGAAGAAGGCCUUCGGGUUGUAAAGCCCUUUUGUUGGGAAAGAAAAGGAGCUGGUUAAUACCUCGCGGUUAUGACGGUACCGAAAGAAUAAGCACCGGCUAACUACGUG